GAAGGGAUGAAAAGAGUUGGCAUGCGAGACGGGUAAGAUGGAGCCCCCAAUCUCACAGGAGCUUUUGAUCUACACGGGGACAAGAGAGAUGUGAACAAACAUAACACAGACAGUGGAAGAAGUGGAGCUUUAAGGAAGCUGGAGCCAAGGUUGAAUGCAGGUGCUUUGAUCUGGACUGUUUUGCUGAAAGGUUUCCAGUUGCCUAUGGUGGUAGUAAGAAGAUGCUAAAAUAACUAACUAAAUAAAAGCCAUAGAUCAUUUAAGUCAUCAAAUCUCAACCAGGCCAAUCAAAACAACCAUAAAGACACAUCGAGAUGAAACUUCAAAUACUGUGGCACAGCUGUGGACUACGAAGAAACAAAGAACUAAACUCAGAUCAGAACAGUUGUUAAAAUAGAAUAAUAUGUCUGUGUCUCGGAGACUAAAAUACGCCUGGCACCAACAGAAGUACUGAGUAUUGAAAGUUGAGACAAGUCACUCAUGACUUUUAUGGACUGGUGGUGAAGACAGGCAGUGAUUGAUACAUUACGAAGUGGUCAGAUUCAGAACAGAAUUACUCACAGAAUUCUACGGAAAGACAGAAGAUAGAGCCCUAAAUCCAGCCUGAAAGAAUCAUGACAAACUUCCUAGAAGACACCUGGGCUGAAUCUUAAAGGAAUGACCUAAUUGUCAAGAGGGUAACAUGUUUUGAGAGUUGCCAUUGGAAUAGAAGUCCCUAAGCUUCCUUGGCUUGUCAGCCUCAUUCCCUUCUGUCCGGCUUUCUCCUCAGCCACAUAACAUCACUCUCCCACCCAAUUUUUAAGUUCAUAUUUUUUUAAAUAGGCAAAGAUUUCUCUCCUUUAGGCAACCACUUGAAAACACCUAGUAAAAAAUUCUGAUUUGCCUGGCUUGAAUUUCCUUGGAAAUACUUAGUCCAAUCAUUUUGGCUGAGGUAAUGGUGUUUUCUGAUUGGUCUAGUUUGACUCAUCCAAUCUGCCUGGAAUGCUGGUUAUCUAAGCAACUUCUAUUUAAAACCUACAGAAGGAGAAAAGCAUUUAACAGAUGAUGCAGAAAAGACUGUUGAUCAGAUUGAAUAGUUGACACUUCUAGGGACUAUCAUUCAACCUACCAGUAGCAAAAAGGAAUUACCACUCUGUGGAUACAUUUCAGGUCAUGCUUGCCUAAUGAAAGACUGUAAGUCAAAAAGAAAUAAACAUUUGCUGAGUUA
rnacentral:lncRNA from 1 species